AACAGGUCAGAGGAAAGGCAUGGAACAACCCAGAUGUUGUGGUGGAUGACCUCUUAACGCCCUGCUCUCCAAACGACCCAGGCACAAUCCAGAUGACCUGGGUGGAUGUAGCGAGCGAUAAACUCCUGGAGCCGAUAGUCAGCUUGGAGGACAUGUUGAGGUCGCUCGAGAAGACCAAGCCCACUGUGAACGAGGAGGAUCUGGAGAAGCUGAAGAAGUUCACUGAGGACUUUGGCCAGGAGGGAUGAAUUUUUGCAGAAUUCACGUGGCAUUUAUUUAUUUUUUUCCAUCACGUUUACAAAGCUCCCUCUACAUAUUUUAUUUUUCAAAAUCUUUGAUAAGUCUUUAACCCUGAGAUUUUUUUUGGGGUGUAACAAUUUUGUGAGCCUUAAUAUUAUCCUGAACAUAACCAUUCAGAUCAGAUAUCCAUUCAUUAUUACUAAAAGUCCUCUUAAUUUUAAAUGGUUUGUUGCAAAUGGGUCAUGAUAUUUUUACUUGGACUUUUGAGAGAUUAAAAAAAAAAAGAUAAUUUGUAUUUAAGUUGGUCACUUGUGCCUUAAUAUCUGGUUACUUUUGUACCUUAUUGCCAAAUAAGACUUAAAAACGACUAGUCUUAAAACCAC